rnacentral:sRNA from 1 species
AGACAACAUCCUCUUUGGGAAGACAUUUGAUGCACAGCUGUACAAGGAGGUGCUAGAAGCCUGCGCCCUCAAUGAUGACCUCGGUAUCCUGCCUGCUGGAGACCAGACAGAGGUGGGGGAGAAGGGUGUCACCCUUAGCGGAGGACAGCGUGCCCGGAUUGCCCUUGCUCGUGCUGUCUACCAGGUCAGUUAAAGAUGGAGGUUGCAGUGGCAGGGAGGUGGGGGGAGUCCAGAGCCUUGGGAGCUUGGCUGAGUUAGGAGGAUAGGAAUAUUUUCCUUAGCAUC